CACUCCUUGGUGCAACCAAUUUUUGUAUCCUCGAGCUCACGUGACUGUUCUCUUUGGACUCUUUCUUAGCAUUAAACUUUGAUCAGGAAAUGAAAACAAAAACAAAAACAAACCAAGAUUAGUGCGAACAUGUUUAUUCAUUCUCUGUUCAGUUAUCUUGUCUUCUUUUGCUAGAGCGUAUAGCCCAAUAAUAGGAUGUUUAAGUUGUUCUUUCUUUAUCGGUUAUACUUUAAAUAAAUAUAAAUUUCACUAAAGAAAGCAAAUGGACGGAUUUGAGAAAUUAAAAAAAUAGGUGAUCGUCACCUUUCAGUGAUCAAACUUUCGGUGCAUAUGUUUGUUCUUGAGUGAUUUUCUUUAUCACCUUUUAUAUUUCCAUUAAUAUUUUAAUUUACCAAAAGCUUUGCGGUGAUGUGAUCAAACACAAAAAUCACAAGACUUAUGCCGAGUAUCUUAUUCAAGAUAACACCAAACCUAUUUGAGCAUAUAUUAUACGCAAGAAUAAUAUUUCUAAGAAUUUAUUCAUCAAUUUAUACCUUUUAAAAAUAUUGUUUUGGGUUUAAAAUAUAAAAGAAAAGAAAAAGCUGAUUGCGACGCAACUUUAAUCAAAACCAAACAGAAAGAAAAAGAAGCAUAAACAGAGAAAGUAAGGUGAAGAAAAAGCAUAGCAGAAGCUAGGAAAUUCAUUCCUUCUUCCCCCUUCUAAUGAUUCUCUUCAUUGUUCCCAAAAAAAGUCUUCAAAUUUCACUUUGUUUUUAUUCAUUCAUAAUGUUUAAUACCAAAAUUUAUACCAGCCAAAAUCUACUUUACCAAAAAGUUUAAGGUUUUUGAUAUUGUCUUUUUAGGUUCGGAACAAGCUAAUAAUAACAUAAAUAAAAGGGAUGGAUCACCCACCUGGGCCACUCUAAAGUCUAAACCAAUUGAAGUAACCAUUUUAAACACACAAAAUUAUGUUGGUGGGCUUUUAGCUCUUUAAAAAUCCACACAUAUGUUAGUGGGCUUUAGCUCGUGGACCAGAUACGGUUACAUGGUUACAAAAGGCCAAACCCAAAUCGGAAAACAUGCCGGAAAAUACGAUCUGCACUCAUUUUGACCAGGUAAAAAUAUGGUUGGAAACGCGUAAAUGAAUCAAAGCCACACAAUGAAAUAAAAAUUCAACGGUGAGGUUCCUACAUUAUUUCUGUAAUUUCUGUUUUUUUUGUGUGAACAAACGGAUUUCUAAUUUUAAAUUUACCUAAAAAUAGCUUAACUCCAUCCGGUAUAAAUCCCCAAAAGCAUCAUCCAAUUAUCCUCAGACCUGCGAGAAACAAAAAAUAAUAAAAGUAAACAAAACUACCAAAAAAAAAAACAGAAAAAAACCUUUCAGGUCUCAACUAGCAAUGGAGAUGAAGAAGAUUGCCUGCGGAGUCGUUUUCGCUGCUGCUUCCAUGACCGCCGUCAUGGCUGCAGAGGUCGGAGCACCUGCACCAGGACCCGCCGCAAGUGGAGCCUC
rnacentral:lncRNA from 1 species